UGCCACGGACGGGGGCCACGCCGGUCGGGGAUGUGGCCUUCACUCCUGCUCCCCUGAGCCCCACGCCCCGGCCGCGCAGCGGGUCCACUGUCCCUCCUGUGCCUCGGGAGUGGCCACCCCGCCUCUAGCUGCUGAGACCCCAGAGGCUGUCACACCUGCCCCACUGGGACUCCCAGGUGAAGGGCGGGCUUGCAGCAGCCGCUUCCCACAGGGCUUCUCGGGGGUCCCCGUCAUCUCCUUCCCUGCUCAUUUCCCUUGACCCUUUAUUUUUAAAUUAUGAAAUAUUUCAAGCAUACAAAAAUUACAGAGAAUCAUUAAAAAGUAUACACUAUUAUGAAAUAGAUAUGGAUGCCUUGAAGAUGGCUGUCCUGGAAAGUUCCCUGUUCUGGGCUGUGGUUUCUCCACGCUGCCCGAAGGGGGACAGAACCAAAGCCGGUGUGAGCUGACACCCCUGGAAGAUGGAGGGGCUGGGGCUGAGCCAGGCCUGCCCUGCCCACCGUGGGCAGCCAGGGUGAGCUGGACAUCUCGCAGGGGUCCGACACCCUCUGCAUGAGUACAUGAGGCAGCGAGGCAAAGAACCUCAAGGCGAGGGCUGGCUGGAAGCCCUGAACGUCGCAGCCCAGACCCAAGAGCCCCACGGCUGCAUCCCAGGUCUGCGACUCCGAGAAGCUGUCCUGGUGACUCUUUCCACCUGUGGUUUUGCUUUUUAAAUAAAUGCUCACUCUCAUCAACCCCCAGGCACAGGCCCAGGCUGAAGAGGAAAGACAAGAGCCGCCCUGCCCAGAAACGUCCACAUGUGGGUACUGCAUUCCUACCGGUGUGACAGGUCAGUGUGACAGGUCGGUGUGACAGGCACCGGUGUGACAGGUCGGUGUGACAGGCACCAGUGUGACAGGCACCAGUGUGACAGGUCGGUGUGACAGACACCGGUGACAAGUCAGUGUGACAGGCAGUGGUGUGACAGGCACCGGUGUGACAGGUCGGUGUGACAGGUACUGUUGUGACAGGUCGGUGUGAGACACUGGUGUGACAAGUCAGUGUGACAGGCAGUGGUGUGACAGGCACCGGUGUGACAGGUCAGUGUGACAGGUACUGUUGUGACAGGUCGGUGUGAGACACUGGUGUGACAAGUCAGUGUGACAGGCAGUGGUGUGACAGGUCGGUGUGACAGGCACCGGUGUGACAGGUCGGUCACGUUGGCUCCCUGGCACGCGGCAGAGUGGGGACCGUGCCCCCGUGAGUGUCACACUGGGGUCCACACCAGGCUGAUCCACUGUGAGCUGGGAGUUGCCAUAGAGACUCUAUAAAUACAACCAAACAUCUUCCAGGGAACAGAAGCGUUUCUCAUCCCAAACCUCCACAUGGCCCUGGAGAUCCCCAACACCUUAGCAAAGGCCAGGUCUUCACGGAAGUGUUUCUCCCGAAAGCCCCCACCGGCGAGGGCCCCCGGAACCACCGUGAAGGGCCCGCGGGGCCAGGGGCCGCCUAC
rnacentral:lncRNA from 1 species